UACGUAGGGUGCAAGCGUUAUCCGGAAUUUAUUGGGCGUAAAGAGCUCGUAGGCGGUUUUGUCGCGUCUGCUGUGAAAACUGGAGGCUCAACCUCCAGCCUGCAGUGGGUACGGGCAAACUAGAGUGCGGUAGGGGAGAUUGGAAUUCCUGGUGUAGCGGUGGAAUGCGCAGAUAUCAGGAGGAACACCGAUGGCGAAGGCAGAUCUCUGGGCCGUAACUGACGCUGAGGAGCGAAAGCAUGGGGAGCGAACAGG
rnacentral:rRNA from 1 species